rfam:Penicillium marneffei ATCC 18224 scf_1105668340738 genomic scaffold, whole genome shotgun sequence.
GGUUUCUUAGUCUAGUGGUUAGGACAUUCGGUUUUGACGAUGUCUGCAAACAUGGCAAGCAAUUGCCUACGGACGAUGAUCUCCUCCGAAGAACCUGGGUUCGAACCCCAGAGAGACCU